rnacentral:rRNA from 1 species
GACGAACGCUGGCGGCGUGCUUAACACAUGCAAGUCGAACGGAAAGGACGGGAAGAGCUUGCUCUUUCCGGAAUUGAGUGGCAAACGGGUGAGUAACACGUAAACAACCUGCCUUCAGGAUGGGGACAACAGACGGAAACGACUGCUAAUACCGAAUAAGUUCCAAGAGCCGCAUGGCCCAUGGAGGAAAAGGUGGCCUCUACCUGUAAGCUAUCGCCUGAAGAGGGGUUUGCGUCUGAUUAGCUGGUUGGAGGGGUAACGGCCCACCAAGGCGACGAUCAGUAGCCGGUCUGAGAGGAUGAACGGCCACACUGGAACUGAGACACGGUCCAGACUCCUACGGGAGGCAGCAGUGGGGAAUCUUCCGCAAUGGGCGAAAGCCUGACGGAGCAACGCCGCGUGAGUGAUGACGGCCUUCGGUUGGUAAAACUCUGUGAUCCGGACGAAAGGACGAGAGUGCGAAG